AUCUGAUUUUCUGCAGUCUGGCUCAUUUUUCUCUGUGAGCCUGCCUUUUCAUAGAUGGCCUUAAUUGGAUUAUAUUUAUUGUAGUUCCUGACAUAUUGCUAUUUCUUUAUUUUGGGAAUUCCUUGUGCCAUUCCUCUCUUUUCCCUUUGUUGAUUUGGUGACAUCCUUAAACUGUUAAUGAACACUCUAAAUUAUGGGUUUUUUCUAUUAAGAUUUUUACAUAUUUGGCACCUUUUUUCUCUUUGUGAUGAGCAUUGUAACCACACCUAAUAAUACCCAGUAUUUGCUCUGUAUUUCUUACUGUGUCCUAGAACUUGGGUUCUAAGUUCUAAACAGACUUUUUAGUAGUUAUUGUUCUAUUUCUACUGUCAGUAAUUAAUCCAAAAUUUCAACCAAUUUUGCUGGUUAUCUUUACUCACCACCAUUUCUGUAUCCCAUUCCUUUUUCAGGGUUCACCCUUCUGGCUGAGUUCAUUCUUAGGUUUUACUCUGUAGCUAUAAUAAGAUUCAAGAGUGGUUAACUCUUUUUGUUGUUUUAAAUUGUCUCUGUUUUCUUUUUUCCCUGGAGUGAUAGUUUAGCAGGGUAUAGUAUUCUAUGAUCACAGUUGUUUCCUUAUGACAUCAUUAUUUGGACUGGUGAUUGUUCAUAAGAGUCUGCUGUCUACCUAGUUGUUGACAUCUUAUGAAUCCCCCUUGUUGUCUUAGAGUCUCCUAAGGUCCUGACCUUGAAUGUGUUUCUUUUCACCUCUCUCAUAUCUUUUUAGCUAGAUGAAGUCAGCACUCAGCCCAGAUUCAGGAUGGUGGGAGAAACUACAAAGGCCACAGGUAUAGGAAGAAGGGCUAGAUCAGGACCAUUUUGCAUUCUCCUGUCAUUGAGGCAGCACUUCCUGCCAGCUUCUGAGGUGGUUCCCUACCUACUCUGCCCUGUGAGUUUGGUUCUGGUGUCAUUUGCCAUGGAAUGUGGCUCUGCCUUUCCUGGGGUACUAAGAGAAUCUAGGCCCAUGCUGAGCUCACAACCUCACUUCCAUUUCAGAGUUUCUUCCUUUAAAAUUGAAUUCUAUUUUUAAAAUAUUUUAUUUCUAGUUUUUUUUUUUUUUUUUUUUUUUUUUUUUUACUUUUCUGAAUGCAUGUGCAUCUGUAUGUGGGUGUGUGCAUGGGAGUGCAGGUACCACGGAGGCCAGAGACUUUGGAUCCCCCAGGUUUAGAAUCCACCUAACAUGGGUGAAGGGAACCAAAUUCGGCUCCUCUGCAGGAGUGGUACACACUUAUACCACUGAGCCAUCUCUGGAGCUCCUUGAUUCCUAGUUUUGAAUAUUGUUGUGUCUUUCACCUCCCUAUUUUUGCAUCUCUUCUUUCAUUCUUGUUUGUUUGAUGUGACAAGGAGGAAGAGAUUGAGGAAUGUGAGUUGAAUUUGAACCACACUCUGCCUGAGAAUCUUUUGUUUACAACAAACAGUGCUUGCCACAUUCUGCAGGAAAUAGAUGAGAUUGUAGCAGCACGGUAGGAUGCACAUCAUUGUGAUCCUGAGAACAAAAGUUUAGAUUUGCAGGGAGAGAGGGGCUUCCUGCACUACUCUCCCUCAGGAGCAGUCCCACGGGUAGGCAUCCAUGUCCUGGAUAGCUCCUGUGAACACUUGUUCCUAGCUCGGCUCUCCUCAUCCUGUCCUGCAUUUCUCUGAUGGAAAGGAAGGUAUGGCUCUAUAGCUGAUACCAGCUCCCUGAAGUUUCUUUAGCUCACACGAAGGGGCUGUGGCUGGAGCCAGCACAAGCAUGGAACAUGGUGGACAGAGACGGUGGCAGUGUCAGAACGUGCUUGCUUCAAAGGCCAUGGGAGGGUUGAUUUUUGAGCCCAGACUCCAUUCUGUACAGGUUAUGGGCAAGGAAAGAAAGGUCAGGGUACAUUCUUGGGACAGCCAUGGCCAUGGAAGCAGCUAGCAGCAUCAUGAUACUGGAGAGGGACAAUGGGACUCGAGAGAGACUGAAAGAGAAAGAGGGUAAUGUGGAGAUGAUCCUGUGUGCUACUACAACUCCCAAACUCAGAUAGCUGCAAACAGCACUUAUUUCAUCUCCUCAUCCUAGAAGACAGAGCUCAGUAGCUGUCCCUGCUUCCUCAGAAAGGUCUAGAAAAUCUACCCUUGCCUCUUCCAGCUUUGGGGUCAUUGGACCUUCCUUGACUGAUGCCUACAUAGCUACUUGUGGUCACACAGCACCACCCACUACUGGAUCAUCUGCUCUCUCUCUCUCUCUCUCUCUCUCUCUCUCUCUCUCUCUCAGGAACUGAAGUGCCCGGCCCACAUUGUCCUCUCAAAACCUUUCCAUGCUAUUGACUCUCUUACAAGGGAAUUAGCACCUGUGUGUAACUUUUAGCACUAUGGCUGAUGACUGGGAAUCAGCAUUGGGCAGUGCUGACUGUGGCUCCUAACUCACAACACCCUUGGGGCACAUUAGGAAUAAGGGACUGGUGUGGCCCACUAUUAACUGAUAAGAAACCAGCAGCUUGGAGAGUCACACUCACUGUCACAACACCAGGGGUUCACGGAGCUGAGUUUUAAACACUGAAUGGUCUGGCUCCCAACUCCUCAUUGCAGGUCCUCCCUAAAGCAAAGUAGCUACCAGAGGCAUUGGGGUGAAGAGGGAAGUUGCAUUCUGUGAGCUACAGAUGCUGUUUCCCCUUCAAGGUCAAGGCAGCUGCAUGUCAGGGGUCUCUUACAUAGCACAUAGCUCCCUGCCUUCUUGGUGUGAAGAAAACCACUCUGAGGUCCAACAUUGGACUGUCGGUGCCUACAGACAUCUGAGAGACCAGCACAGGGACUUUAUGAAACUAAGGGUCUGUGGGAGGCACCCAGUGAGCCUGGAGUCCAGCAAUACUCCAGACCACAUUCUGUCCUGACAAAAAUAAACAACCAGAAGUCCAGUGAACUCAGUUUCAUCUCCCCUACAUUUCUGCUUCCUGCAGGAUACCCAUCUGUAAUCUCAGCCUUGAAUUCCAACCUACCUCCUCCUGGCUGGGGACUUCGGACUUAGCUCACCUGGAAGCAUUAUUCCUGGGAGAGAUGAGGUGCCCUGUUAUGUAGGAAAACUACCCACAUUGUAUCUCAGGAAACUUGUUCCUGCCCCGCUUCUGUGGUCACUUGAAACACAGUAAGCUUUGGGUUCUGUGGGCUGUGGAGAGGGAACAUUUUGACAAGUGAGAUGAAGACGUGUCCAGGGGUGGGAGAAGGGGCCAAAAUGCUAAGGUAGGAAUGGAUGGGAAACUCCUGGUAUUCCUACAGGGCUGGUAGGUGGUCACUGAGUUGGGAGGGGCUGGGAGGAGGAAGGGAGAAGUUUCCCAGACUGGGAGCAGCAGGCGUUGGUUUUCUGAGGGGCUAUUAUCUUUCAGUUGUAGCAGAUCUCUGCCGAUAGAGAUAUUUGCACUUUUUUUUUU
rnacentral:lncRNA from 1 species